CAGGACAGCAGAGCGCCUCCUGCAGGCUCUCAGUGAGCUAGGGGAGAGCCUCCAGGACCCUCAACUACUCCAGCUGUGUUCAGAAAGAAAGGUUGCCUCAAAUACUCUGGGGAUGGGGGGAGGGGGGUGCAGGGGACUUGACCCCUGCCCAGGAAAUGCCCCCUUCCCCACCCUCUGAGUUCCCUUGCCUUUACAUUUGAAUGAGUUUGGGCCUCUGAGUUCCCAUCAGCUUCACUGGUUUAAAAACUCAACCUCAAAUCUUACCCCUUGAGUUGUUGGAGAGUUCUGAGGCUAGCAGAACCCUGGCAUAAUGUGACCAGCCCCUUGCCUGGAGGAGGCAAGAGGCUGACCAAGAGGGAGUGCCUGGCAGUCGUAAUUGCAGCCUGGAGGUGACACGCACUGGGGCAGGGUGGUACCAAGAUUUGCAUUUGCACCUUUGUGGAGGACUGGAAGGAACCAGAGAGCCAGGGUCGAGGGUAUGGGGCUGCAGCCAGAGUGGACUGGACCCAUGGAGAGAGGGGAGGCCCAGGAAUCCAUUCCUUGAGGUCCUCGGCAGGCCUGUGAGAGGGUCAAGAAACUACAUCCCCGUCUGGUUUCCAUCCCCUUGUCUUCUGAAGUUUUAAAAACUGAUGUUCAAGGACAAAGGCAAAGAGGAACUGAAGAGCCUCUUGAUGAAAGUGAAAGAGGAGAGUGAAAAAGCAGGCUUAAAACGCAACAUGCAAAAAGCUAAGAUCAUGGCAUCCAGUCCCAUCCCUUCAUGGCAAAUAGAUGGGGAAACAAUGGAAACAGUGAGAGGCUUUAUUUUUUGGGGCUCUAAAAUCACUGCAGAUGGUGAUUGCAGCCAUGAAAUUAAAAGACACUUGCUCCUCGGAAGAAGAGCUAUGACCAACCUAGGCAGCAUAUUAAAAAGCAGAGAUGUUCCUUUCCUGACAAAGCUCCGUCUAGUCAAAGCUGUGGUUUUUCCAGUGGUCAUGUAUGGAUGUGAGAGUUGGACUAUACAGAAAGCUGAGCACCGAAGAAUUGAUGCUUUUGAACUGUGAUGUUGGAGAACACCCUUGAGAGUCCCUUGGAUAGCAAGGAGAUCAAACCAAUCAAUCCUAAAGGAGAUCAACCCUGAAUAUUCAUUGGAAGGACUGAUGCUGAAGCUGAAGCUCCAAUACUUUGGCCACCUGAUGGGAAGAACUGACUCACUUGAAAAGACUCUGAUGCUGGGAAAGACUGAAGGUAGGAGGAGAAGGGGACGACAAAGGAUGAGACGGUUGGAUGGCAUCACCGACUUGAUAUGGACAUGAGUUUGAGCAAGUUCCGGGAGUUGGUGAUGUACAAGGAAGCCUGGCAUGCUGCAGUCCAUGGGUUCCAAAGAGUUGGGCAUGACUGAGUGACUGAACUGAAGGACAAAUUUAGGAGGAGGAAGCAGGCCCACUUCCCUAAGGACAGUCGCAGCCUAUGCUAAGCCAUCCUAGAACCCUGAGCUUACUGGCAGCCCAAUCAACAAGGUAAAGUGCCCAGCUUACAUUUUUCCAAGUCAGGAAAUGGACACCUACAUGAGGAAAUUCAUCACCUCGAGGCGACAAGAACUGGAAAGUCCAAGGACCAAUUUCUAACAAACUUAGGAAAGGGCCUCUGGGCAACCAAACUGGCUGGUCAGGUUGAUUAGGGAACUCUGAAAACAAUCCUGCUGCCUCCCUACUCCCAGAUUCAACCUUCCCACCGCCACAACAGGUGGAAACUGAGGCAGCAGCCAGCCACGUGAAGGUGCCGGCGUCACCGUGAGCAGCCUCGAGGUGUAGGGAAGCCGGGGAGUCCAGGCAGCCAGUGAGAACUAGAGACGUUGAUGCUGGGUCUCUGUGAGUGGAAAGUGGUGACACAGGCGUUCAUGGAUGUGGUUUUGUGGGUGUGUAGAUAGGCGUGUGAGCAUGGGCUAGUCACUAUGUGAAUAUGUGUAAAUGUGGUUUCUGAGUGUGUGAUUGUGUGUGUGUUGAGUGUCCUAGUGGGAAGUGAGGGGACACCAAGAACCUUAUCGGUGGUCCCUCUGAUCAUUAGGUCCUCCCUCCAGCACGGGGCAAGGACCAGUAACAUACUUGGAAGGUGAAGGCCACUCAGGAGGAGGACAGGGACAAGUUCUGGGAACGAGGCUGUGACCACAUUAGAGGGUGACAGGUGACAGGUGGGUGGCAGAAUCCAUUCCCAAGACCUUGGAUUCUUGCUCUAAAUCUGCCGAGCAGGGGAGUCAGGCUGGGGGAGGGGGGCUUUUUGUGAUCUCCAGCCACCCUCCAGAAGCACGUGGAGAGCACACGUGACGGACAGUGGCCACCCGGGAACCUGACUCUCCUUGACUCCUCUCUGUGCCCUCUGGCAGCCCAACCCCUGACAAGAUACCUCAGGGCAGAGGGCAAAGGCCGCUUCUCCGCCCCUUUAUAAAGAGGCCCCAGACUGGUGGAGCUCUGGAGGUGGAGUGGGAGUGCCCCGCUGGCCUGGUCCCGGGUGCCGGUGUGGUGAGGAACCCAGCGCACACGGAGGCAGCCAUGGGGCUGCUGUCUGGGGACACGCUGGGGGCCCUGGCCGUGGCCGUGCUCAUCUUCUCGCUCUUGCUGGACCUGAUGCACCGGCGCUCACGUUGGGCCGCACGCUACCCACCAGGCCCCACGCCGCUGCCCGUGCUGGGUAACCUGCUGCAGGUGGACUUCGAGGACCCGCGUCCCAGCUUUAGCCAGCUGCGGCGCCGCUUCGGGAACGUGUUCAGCCUGCAGCAGGUCUGGACGCCUGUAGUCGUGCUCAACGGGCUGGCGGCAGUGCGCGAGGCGCUGGUGUACCGCAGCCAGGACACUUCCGACCGUCCACCUCCGGCCGUCUACGAGCACCUGGGUUACGGGCCGCGCGCCGAAGGAGUAAUCCUGGCGCGUUAUGGGAACGCGUGGCGGGAGCAGCGGCGCUUCUCCCUGUCCACCCUGCGCAACUUCGGCCUGGGGAAGAAGUCACUGGAGCAGUGGGUGACCGAGGAGGCCUCGUGCCUCUGUGCCGCCUUCGCCGACCAGGCCGGACUCCCGUUUAGCCCCAAAGACCUCCUGAAUAAAGCAGUGAGCAACGUGAUCGCCUCCCUGACCUUCGGAUGCCGUUUCGAGUACAAGGAUCCUCGCAUCGUCAAGCUCUUGGACGUGAUAGAGGAUGUGCUGAAGGAAGAGUUUAACUUAGUGCGCCAGGUGGUGGAAGCUGUGCCAGCGGUCCUGCGCAUCCCAGGGCUGGCCGCCAAGGUCUUCCCGGGGCAGAAGGCCUUCAUGGCCCUGAUUGAUGAGCUGAUCGCUGAGCAGAAGAUGACCCGGGACCCGACCCAGCGACCCCGACACCUGACCGACGCCUUCCUGGAUGAGGUGAAGGAGGCCAAGGGGAACCCCGACAGCAGCUUCAAUGAUGCGAACCUGCGCCUGGUGGUGGCCGACCUGUUCUCCGCCGGGAUGAUCACCACAUCGACCACACUGGCCUGGGCCCUCCUCCUCAUGAUCCUGCACCCAGACGUGCAGCGACGGGUCCAACAGGAAAUCGAUGAGGUGAUAGGGCAGGUGAGGCGACCAGAGAUGGGGGAUCAGGCCCUCAUGCCCUUCACUGUGGCCGUGGUCCAUGAGGUGCAACGCUUUGCGGACAUCAUCCCCCUGGGAGUGCCCCACAUGACAUCCCGGGACAUCGAGGUGCAGGGCUUCCACAUCCCGAAGACAUUUGCCACCAGGGGACGACACUCAUCACCAACCUGUCGUCAGUGCUGAAGGAUGAGACCGUCUGGGAGAAGCCGUUCCGCUUCCACCCGGAGCACUUCCUGGAUGCCCAGGGCCGCUUCGUCAAGCAGGAGGCCUUCAUUCCCUUCUCCGCAGCCUCCUGCAGCGCUUCAGCUUCUCCGUGCCUGCGGGGCAGCCCCGCCCCAGCGACCACGGUGUCUUUGCCUUCCUGGUGACCCCAGGCCUGUACCAGCUUUGUGCGCUGCCCCGCUAGAGGCAGGCACCCAGCCCCCAACCUCAGCGGCAGCCCUGAUGUUCAAUAAACCACUGCCUGGUGGCUCCA